rnacentral:rRNA from 1 species
UACGGAAGAUCCGAGCGUUAUCCGGAAUUACUGGGCGUAAAGAGUUGCGUGGGUGGCAUGUAAAGCGAGCAGUGAAAGAUCCCGGCUCAACCGGGGGUACAUUGUUCGAACUCACAAGCUAGAGCAUGAGAGAGGUAGAUGGAAUUUCUAGUGUAGGAGUGAAAUCCGUAGAUAUUAGAAGGAACACCGAUGGCGUAGGCAGUCUACUGGCUCAUUGCUGACACUAAGGCACGAAAGCGUGGGGAGCGAACGGG